AUUGAACGCUGGCGGCAGGCCUAACACAUGCAAGUCGAGCGGAUGACGGGAGCUUGCUCCUUGAUUCAGCGGCGGACGGGUGAGUAAUGCCUAGGAAUCUGCCUGGUAGUGGGGGAUAACGUUUCGAAAGGAACGCUAAUACCGCAUACGUCCUACGGGAGAAAGCAGGGGACCUUCGGGCCUUGCGCUAUCAGAUGAGCCUAGGUCGGAUUAGCUAGUUGGUGGGGUAAUGGCUCACCAAGGCGACGAUCCGUAACUGGUCUGAGAGGAUGAUCAGUCACACUGGAACUGAGACACGGUCCAGACUCCUACGGGAGGCAGCAGUGGGGAAUAUUGGACAAUGGGCGAAAGCCUGAUCCAGCCAUGCCGCGUGUGUGAAGAAGGUCUUCGGAUUGUAAAGCACUUUAAGUUGGGAGGAAGGGCAGUAAGUUAAUACCUUGCUGUUUUGACGUUACCGACAGAAUAAGCACCGGCUAACUCUGCGCCAGCCGCCGCGGUAA
rnacentral:rRNA from 1 species